rnacentral:rRNA from 1 species
GUAGGUGGCAAGCGUUGUCCGGAAUUAUUGGGCGUAAAGCGCGCGCAGGCGGUUCUUUAAGUCUGAUGUGAAACGCCCACGGCUCAACCGUGGAGGGUCAUUGGAAACUGGAGAACUUGAGUACAGAAGAGGAAAGCGGAAUUCCACGUGUAGCGGUGAAAUGCGUAGAGAUGUGGAGGAACACCAGUGGCGAAGGCGGCUUUCUGGUCUGUAACUGACGCUGAGGCGCGAAAGCGUGGGGAGCAAACAGGAUUAGAUACCCUGGUACGUCCACGCCGUAAACGAUGAGUGCUAAGUGUUAGGGGGGUUUCCGCCCCCCUUAGUGCUGCAGCUAACGCAUUAAGCACUCCGCCUGGGAGUACGGCCGCAAGGCUG